rnacentral:rRNA from 1 species
CCUACGGGUGGCAGCAGUGGGGAAUAUUGCACAAUGGGGGAAACCCUGAUGCAGCGACGCCGCGUGAGUGAAGAAGUAUUUCGGUACGUAAAGCUCUAUCAGCAGGGAAGAAAAUGACGCUACCUGACUAAGAAGCCCCGGCUAACUACGUGCCAGCAGCCGCGGUAAUACGUAGGGGGCAAGCGUUAUCCGGGUUUACUGGGGGUAAAGGGAGCGUAGACGGCAGCGCAAGUCUGGAGUGAAAUCCCAUGGCUUAACCAUGGAACUGCUUUGGAAACUGUGCAGCUAGAGUGCAGGAGAGGUAAGCGGAAUUCCUAGUGUAGCGGUGAAAUGCGUAGAUAUUAGGAGGAACACCAGUGGCGAAGGCGGCUUACUGGACUGUAACUGACGUUGAGGCUCGAAAGCGUGGGGAGCAAACAGGAUUAGAUACCCCUGUAGUC